rnacentral:sRNA from 1 species
AUGCACCACGCCGACACUCCGAUUGUGAGUGCGCCGUCCCCAUCCAGUUGACGACUGUUCGCCACGUCGUGUUAUCC